AGGGUUUGAUCAUGGCUCAGAACGUACGCUGGCGGCACGCCUAACACAUGCAAGUCGAACGAAGUAGCAAUACUUAGUGGCAGACGGGUGAGUAACAUGUGGGUAUCUGCCCUUUGGCCUGGAAUAACACGAGGAAACUUGUGCUAAUACCGGAUAAGUCUUUACGGAGAAAGCUUUAUGCACCAUUGGAUGAGCCCGCACUUGAUUAGUUUGUUGGUGGGGUAAUGGCCUACCAAGACUGUGAUCAAUAGCUGAUUUGAGAGGAUGAUCAGCCACAUUGGGACUGAGACACGGCCCAAACUCCUACGGGAGGCAGCAGUGGGGAAUCUUGCACAAUGGAGGAAACUCUGAUGCAGCGAUGCCGCGUGAGUGAAGAAGGCCCUUGGGUUGUAAAGCUCUUUCGUCGGGGAAGAAAAUGACUGUACCCGAAUAAGAAGGUCCGGCUAACUUCGUGCCAGCAGCCGCGGUAAUACGAAGGGACCUAGCGUAGUUCGGAAUUACUGGGCUUAAAGAGUUCGUAGGUGGUUGAAAAAGUUAGUGGUGAAAUCCCAGAGCUUAACUCUGGAACUGCCAUUAAAACUUUUCAGCUAGAGUAUGAUAGAGGAAAGCAGAAUUUCUAGUGUAGAGGUGAAAUUCGUAGAUAUUAGAAAGAAUACCAAUUGCGAAGGCAGCUUUCUGGAUCAUUACUGACACUGAGGAACGAAAGCAUGGGUAGCGAAGAGGAUUAGAUACCCUCGUAGUCCAUGCCGUAAACGAUGUGUGUUAGACGUUGGAAAUUUAUUUUCAGUGUCGCAGCGAAAGCGAUAAACACACCGCCUGGGGAGUACGACCGCAAGGUUAAAACUCAAAUGAAUUGACGGGGACCCGCACAAGUAGUGGAGCAUGUGGUUUAAUUCGAAGAUACGCGCAGAACCUUACCAACACUUGACAUGUUCGUCGCGACUCUAAGAGAUUAGAGUCUUCGGUUCGGCCGGACGAAACACAGGUGCUGCAUGGCUGUCGUCAGCUCGUGUCGUGAGAUGUUGGGUUAAGUCCCGCAACGAGCGCAACCCUCACUUUUAGUUGCCAUCAUUAAGUUGGGCACUCUAAAAGAACUGCCAGUGAUAAGCUGGAGGAAGGUGGGGAUGACGUCAAGUCCUCAUGGCCCUUACGUGUUGGGCUACACACGUGCUACAAUGGUAUCUACAACAGGAAGCAAGACUGCGAGGUCAAGCAAAUCCUUAAAAGAUACCUCAGUUCGGAUUGCACUCUGCAACUCGAGUGCAUGAAGCUGGAAUUACUAGUAAUCGUGGAUCAGCGUGCCACGGUGAAUGCGUUCCCGGGUCUUGUACACACCGCCCGUCACACCAUGGGAGUUGGUUCUACCUUAAGGCAAGGUUUCAAACCCUUGACCACGGUAUAGUCAGCGACUGGGGUGAAGUCGUAACAAGGUAGCCGUA
rnacentral:rRNA from 1 species